rnacentral:rRNA from 1 species
GACGAACGCUGGCGGCGUGCUUAACACAUGCGAGUCGAACGGAAAGGCCCUGCUUUUGUGGGGUGCUCGAGUGGCGAACGGGUGAGUAACACGUGAGUAACCUGCCCUUGACUUUGGGAUAACUUCAGGAAACUGGGGCUAAUACCGGAUAGGAGCUCCUGCUGCAUGGUGGGGGUUGGAAAGUUUCGGCGGUUGGGGAUGGACUCGCGGCUUAUCAGCUUGUUGGUGGGGUAGUGGCUUACCAAGGCUUUGACGGGUAGCCGGCCUGAGAGGGUGACCGGCCACAUUGGGACUGAGAUACGGCCCAGACUCCUACGGGAGGCAGCAGUGGGGAAUAUUGCACAAUGGGCGGAAGCCUGAUGCAGCAACGCCGCGUGCGGGAUGACGGCCUUCGGGUUGUAAACCGCUUUCGCCUGUGACGAAGCGUGAGUGACGGUAAUAGGUAAAGAAGCACCGGCUAACUACGUG